ACUUGUUUGUUAACAUUUUUCGUUAUAUUUUUUUUUUGUCUAUUUUGGUAGUAGAAAAUCGUGUAGGUUUCCUCCCAAUCGAUGACUCAAAUCCUAGCAAACAAAAGCUCAUCAUCAUGUUUCGUGAAUCUCUGUAAAAUCAAACAUGCUAAGUGUUUGUGUGUACCACCAACUGUGAAUUUCUCCAAAGUAUUGAUCGCAUUGUGUCUCACGAUCGAUUUGAGGAGACCCCAGGGGUAGCAUUUUUCGCUGUCUGAAGCCUAUAGUUCUGCGCAUGCGCUGCACGGUGACACGCAGUAAGCCGAGUCGCCGGGAGAGCCAGCCGACAACAACUCUUGUGAAUUUCCACCCCCCCCCCCCUUUUUUUUUUUUUUUUUUUGUGUAAUCCUAUUCCGAUGUAAUCAUGCCGAAUCAAAUCGAUUUUGAUUGCAUAUUUUCACGCGUACUUGUGAUUGGCUUUAAAUCACAUUAAAAUAUUUUUAUUUCGAAUUGCAGGAUGAGGGAGUAUAUCGAAGAACAUGAAAAAACAGAUCCACUUAUUCACGCCCCGGACAAGAAGAGCAAUCCAUGGGCUGAAAAAGGAAAAUGUA